CAAAGUGAUGACAACCUAAGGUACUCGGUAGACCCUGGAUGAUCAAAGACCAUCUCUCCAAAAGAAAACGACAGUGGGAAAUAACGUGUUAUGCCCUAAGUAUGUAUAUUUCUACCUUCCCCCAUCAAUAUCUGAUUUCAUUAAUUUCUAUCGUUUAUGGUGUCCAUGUUUUUUUUUUUUGCUUUAGUGUCUACAAUAAAACAUAUUAAAUUGCAACAAUAUUAAUGAAACAAAAUUGUUUAUACUACGUGUUUAAUAAUAUCACGAAUACCAGGUACCAAA